AGCUCGUUUCUUAAAUUAAAAGAGAAAAAUUGAAGAUGAUGACAAAACCUUGAGAGCCAUCCGCAUCUUAGAAAAAUCACCCUUGUGGUUUGGUGGGGGUCGUUGGGGGUCUUAAGAUUAACGACGGCAAUUUAUCCAUUUAUUAAUUAAUCAACGAACACUCCCAAUUAUAUAUUUGUAAUGGUUUCCUCGAUAAAAAGAAAAGGAAUUUCAGAAGGAGAAGAAGGCAAACUCCAAUUUCAGGAAGUCAGCAUCAUUCCUCCUUACUCUCAGGACUUUGUUUUAAUUUGGACACUGCUUGGAUAUUGGACCUGCCUCUGAUCAGUCUGUUACAGAAAUUCGGUCCACCAGGUGUCAGUGGGCUAAUAGCUCGCACUAAGAAAUUCUUGAGAGGUAAAAUCUGAGCCAUCUACUGACUUGACUUUGAUCGUACUGCUGACAGAAAUAAAGCUAAAAGUCAAAUACUAUGCCAGGAACCAUCUGAAAGGAUGGUUCAUGGAAUAGUUUCUUCUCCUGUACUGGAGGCUAGAUCUGAUCACACUGACAUAAAAGCAAAAGUUCAAAAGCUGGUUGAGGACUUGACGAGUGAUUCACUUGAAACUUUAAGAACUAGUACAGCUGAAAUGCGGUUGCUCACCAAGAUUAAUGCGAAUAAUCGGAGGGUGAUUGCAGACUAUGGGGCAAUUAAAGUUUUGGUCAAUCUGCUAAAUUCUACAGACACUAAGAUUCAAGAGAAUGCUGUUACAGCACUUGUUAACUUAUCAAUCGACUAUAAUUGCAAAACUAUCAUUGUUCAAGCUAAUGCAAUUGAGCCUUUGAUUCAUGUUCUUCAAACUGGAAGCCCGGAGGCAAAGGAGAACUCAGCUGCUACUCUUGGUAGUCUUUCCGUGAUUGAUGAUAACCAGGUCAACAUUGGUAGGUCCAGGGCAAUAGGGCAUCUGGUUGACUUGUUGAGGGAUGGUACUCCUCGGGGAAUGAGAGAUGCAGCUACCGCACUGUUUAAUUUGUCAUUGCUUUCCGAAAACAAGGCAAAAAUUGUGGAGGCUGGAUCAAUCAAGCAUCUUGUGAAGUUGAUGGACCCAGCUGCCGGAAUGGUUGAGAAGGCAGUGGUUGUUCUGGCAAAUCUUGCAUCAAUAGAUGAAGGAAGAAUCGAAAUUGUAUGUGAGGGUGGUAUUGCUUUGUUGGUUGACACUAUUGAGUUAGGUUCUGCCAGGGCAAAAGAGUAUGCAGCUGCAGCAUUAUUGUGGCUUUGUGCAACCACUAGUAGAUUUUGCAUCAUGGCAAUCCAAGAGGGAGCUAUCCCACCAUUAGUGGCACUGUCACAUUCAGGCACAGCACGGGCCAAGGAAAAGGCUCGGGCACUACUUAGCUGCUUCAGUAGAAAUAAGCUCGCAUCACAAUGCUAGAGGACUGGAAGUGACCCAUUCUUAGACAUGGUUCCAGAGGGCACACAAUUGCACUGUUGGCAGCAGAUUCCACAAUACUUCAAGCACCUGUCCUUCACCCCUGCAUUCAAGCAUCUUACCCCACAUUUUGAAUCACAAACACCUUCCAAAAGAAGAAAACAAAUAGAAAGAAAAAAGUCAAAACAAUAAACCAGUUAAUCACUUGAACAAGGUUGUAGAGGAAUCAGCAAUGGCAUAUUGGAGGAGGAAAGAGCUCAGAAUCAAUGAAAGAAGAACCAAAAUGACAGAAGCAGAUUUCAUCUUUCUCCUUCUGUUUUAAGGUUAGUGUUCUACUGACAUUUCAAUAAUUUCUAUCUGAUAUUUAUAGACUUGGUUUGUGGAGUGGAGGGGAAUGACAGAAAGGAAAAGGUCUCUGUAAAGAAUGUUUUAUUAAUUGAAAAGUGGGGUAUGAAUCAAUAGGAUGACCCAUGAGGGAAAGGCAUGGCAAAAUGCUUAUAAGAAUGGUUUACAGCCCAACUAGAGUGUAAAGAUGUAUGGUUUAGGUAUGUUUGGGGGCAUGAGCUGUCUGCACUCCUUAAUUUUCUUUUGUUUAUAUUUCUUAGGAAGGAUACCAACAA